rnacentral:rRNA from 1 species
AGUGGCGUCGGGUGAGUAACACGUGGGUAACCUGCCCUGGAGACUGGGAUACCCUCCCGAGAGGGAGGCUAAUACUGGAUACGUUCCUCGCACGGAAAGGUGCGCUCUUGGAGGGGCUCGCGGCCUAUCAGCUAGUUGGUGGGGUAACGGCCCACCAAGGCGAUGACGGGUAGCUGGUCUGAGAGGACGACCAGUCACACGGGAACUGAAACACGGUCCCGACUCCUACGGGAGGCAGCAGUGGGGAAUUUUCCGCAAUGGGCGAAAGCCUGACGGAGUGACGCCGCGUGGGGGACGAAGGCCUUCGGGUCGUAAACCCCUGUCAGAGGGAAGGAAUGACGGUACCUUCAGAGGAAGCCCCGGCCAACUCUGUGCCAGCAGCCGCGGUAAGACAGAGGGGGCAAGCGUUGCUCGGAAUCACUGGGCGUAAAGGGCGCGUAGGCGGGAUGGCAAGUCGGUCGUGAAAUCCUUCGGCUCAACCGAAGAACGUCGGCCGAUAC